CUUGAAACAAUAUGAAGUGAAAUUGUAUGAUUUGGAAAAUGUGCCCCAGUGACAAGUUGGCAAACACUUAAAAAGGAUUGUAGUUUAAAGGGAAGUAUAUUACAGAAGUAUAGUUCCCCAAGGGAAGUCAAGGUCUUUUAACUCAUUAAAGAGGUUAUAUUUUCUUAAUUUUGGGCAUUUUUGUGGCUAGAAACUU